rnacentral:rRNA from 1 species
UACAGAGGAGCCAAGCGUUGUCCGGAUUGACUGGGCGUAAAGCGCACGCAGGCGGACGCGCGCGUGGGGUGUGAAAUCUGGCCGCUUAACGGCCAGGCGCCAUCCCAUACGGCGUGUCUGGAGUGAUGCAGAGGUCGAUGGAAUUGCCGGUGUAGUGGUGAAAUGCGUAGAGAUCCGGCGGAACACCGGUGGUGAAGGCGGCUUCCUUGGCCGAACCCGACGCUGAGGCGCGAGAGCGCGGGGAGCGAACCGG